CAGUGAUGCAUUCUAUGUCAAGAGGCCAGCUCGUCAGUCAUAAGGCAGUGUGAGGUCCGAAUCAUUCCUGAAAUUAUCCCUGCUCCAUAACAGAGGCAGCACAAGCUCUGUGAAACUAUUCCCUCCUACUCCGUCUCACUAAAGAAUUAGAUUAAAUUAACUGGUCUUUAAGAGAAAAAAAAAAAGUGAUUAGUGAUUUCAUAACAGGGCUCCAAAACAGUAGGCAUCAUGAGCGGAAUAUGCAUACUGCAUGUAUUGCUAAACAUAACUACUGCAGUGGUAUCAACCUUUUCUUCCUAAGGACAGACACCCAACCUUGCAAACACCCUGCUGCUGGUAGCUCACCACAAAGCCUUCAGAGGAGCCAGACCUUGGAGAGAAAGACAGCUCCUAAAGCCUGUGUUAGCCCAAAAUGUACUGUGAGAGCCUGUACGACCGGUGCGUGCUGCUAAUCCCUCGAUGCUCUGAGAAGCCAGUGAGGUAAAUCACCCAUUGUGACAAACAGCACCUAGUGGUACAGCCUGAAGUGGCAAAAACUGGACUGGAGAAGUAGUUUGGAAUAUGUUUUUGUACUUGGUUCACCUUUCCACGCAUGAAGUCUUCCCAGGUGAUUUCAAAAGUGGAAACUGGUUGUAGAAAUACCAUUUUGUUUCUGUUCCCACUAGGUCUGCUUUUACAGGGCUGACGUAGGGGUUUUCUGCACAGGAAUUGCACGCCCCCCCUUGGUAGCGUGGCCUCGAUACCGACAGAUGCCACAGGAGGAAUGUGAGUGUAAAUGGUGCAUGUGAGCUGAAUGCCCAAACCUGACUGUACAUUUUUGGCAGCACUUGGGGUGGCUACAUGAGAACAUGUGCCCACAUCUCCAGGUAGCAUUUAGGAACAGGGGGACCCGCACUCUCCACAGUGGGGAGUAAACCACACUUGUGGCCAGAGGCUGGGAGGUGUGUGAAUGUGUACGUGGGACUAGAAUUUGGGGAAUUUGGCACAGCAGGAUAUUGAGGAAAUUUGUAGGUGCUUGUUAGCACUUUGAAAGAUUCUAGUAUUGUAAUUUCUGUUGUACUGCUGAUGCUGCUUCACAAAACAUAGUUCACUGAUUACUGACAAAUUACGUGUACCGUCUUAUUUCAGUCCUGAGUGUUCAAAGGUAUGUCCCAGUGAUGUACCAGAUUAAGCAUCAACAGAAAUGCUGUAGUAUAUUAGCUGUUAACUGUCAGAAGAACAAGGCAACAGGCUCUGACCAGGUCAAUGAUACUAGUAGCCAACUGCAUUAUCUGUAUCUGUACUAAAGUAUAUGUAUGCAAGGAAAGAGCUUGUGAUGACUAUGAAGAUUGUGCUGCCCAUUUCAAAAAGUCUCUUUAUCAUCAAUAUUUGUGGCUACAUUUAUCAACUAUAAAGGACUCCCUCAAAGCACAAUUGCUCUUUUUUUCUGAGCCAUGGAUCAAGUUUACUUUCUCCUCAAUUACAUAAUAAAUUAAAGAAAGCCUAAUACAUUGAUUUUUUUUUUUUUUAUAUUUUAUAUGGUGGAAGUGGCAGAUUUUUUUUUAAAAUUUAAAUGGACAGGCUAGGUGCAGUAUUAGAAUUCCAGCUAUGGGCCGGUGCUGAUGCAUUCUGUCCAUCUGCCACCUGCAAAGUAUGUUAAGUCACCAACUACAGAAAUCAGUCUUCAGAGAGGGUCUGCUUUCAGUUUUGGCAGGGUUUCUGGAAGAGCUUCAGUAGCUGAGGACAGAGUAAAUACAGAUAUUCAGAAUCUACAGAAGGAUAUUAACAGGUUCUACCUAAGUGCUGAGCAAAGAACUUGUUAGAUUUCUGAGAUAUGAGACAUCUGAAUAACUUCAAGUCAAUACAAGAGGAUCUGCAGAUACUUGCUAUUAAGACCAAGCAAACGGUGAAGCCUUUCCGAAAAUGCUUGAAAAUAGUUUUUAUUGGAUUGCUGCUGACUGGUUUAAAUACUCCACUGCCUACUGAUGAUUUCCUGAGAAGCCUUGACUAUGAUCCUGCUUCACAGGUAUUUUAUGACUAGAAGUUCAAAUAAAAUCUCGGUGUUCAAAGAACUUGGAGAAGGAAGUAAUUUUCAAAGUAAAGAGGAACGUAUUUCGGCAAUAUGUUAAAGCAAAGAGCUACAGGCUUAACCUGGCGUAACCCUGGCCCCAAUUCCAGUGAGAUGCCAGCAUUGAAUAAUCGCUAUCAAAAACGACGAAGCAAGUUUAAGGAGGCUACUGUGAGCCCUGUCCAAACCAUUCACAAGCCUUGACUUCGAGACUGGUUACUGUAGUACUUCAGAAGACGCUGAGUGCCAGCAGGCACAUGCUCGUUCAGUUAGUCCUUCAUCCACAUAGGUAGGCUCGUAGCAGAAUCUGCUCUUGAUUCAUGACCACCCCAGCACUAGGAGAAACCUAGGAGAUCUCAGAGAUGUGUUUUGUCACAUGAGCAAAGGAGGACAGAGGGUUAGACUGACAAUAGACUUAAUGGAUUUAGAUUUGUAGAAUAUCGGAAUAUUUUUGGGAUAACUUGGAUGUUAGCCUCAGUCACAGGGGGAAAAAAAUCUUCCCAGGCAAAACUUGGCAAGAUUAAAUUCAAUGGCAAUAAAUAGAUAAAGAAUCCGACGAGCAUUCAUUUAUCAGAAAGUAAAGAUGUUCAAGCUAAAAUUAAGCAAAGAACCACAAAUGAUUACAAGAACCUAACUCCCAACACAUGCAUAGUUAAUUAACAGGAUGAAGUGAGUAAUUAAUUUGGAAGCAUAAAUUGCAUCAAAUUGGUUUUACUAUAAUCUGGUGGAAAAUAGCUGGAUAACGAAAUAUUCAGAUCACUACUCAGGCUAUUUCUGAAGGACAAGCUGGUCAAAGGAAAGAACAGUGAUCUAUGUAUUAAAAAAAAAAAGUCGUGAAUGGACAUGGGAAAAUAUUCUGAUUGACAAAUCAUGAGAUUAGGUAUUAAAUAGCUUCUGCUACAGGCUAUUUGGUCAUGUUAAAAGGAAGGCUUGCUUCUUAAUCUUUUACCUUCUUAGUUAUGUGAUAUAAGGAAAGCACUGUAUUUAUUACAUGUACUAACUCAGAAUUUCAUAGCUAAACUGAAGCGGGCACUGGCUGGGAGAAAAACCUGUAUUAAAACAAAUAUGUAACCAAAGGGAAAACAGGCAUAAAACAAAACAGGUAUUACAUGCUAAAAGCUGUAGAAUAUUCAGAAGGUAAGCUGUAAAUUACAUUGAUGUUGGAUAUUUACCCAUGUGAAAAGCAGGAAGGAGUAAUUAAAAAUAUAUAUAUCAGAGAAAGCAGAAAGUUUAGAUAAAUUUCUGUUCUGGAUUUCUGGCAAAAAAAAAAACAAUGUAUUAGUAUCAGAAAAUUCUAACAAUAACUAAAGAAAGCCUUAAACAUAGGAAUUGAAGUAAGGCAUUUUUUAAAUCAGCAGCUCCAGAUAGCUUGCAUCCAAGAAUUUUAAGAGCUGGCAAAGGAGACUUGUGUGCUGUUAAUGUGGAUUUUCCAUAAGCUUUGAGAAAUCUGGGGAAGCUCAGAAAAAAAAAAAAAAUCUCACAGAAGGCUGAGGUGGCGCCAAUAUUAGAAAAACAUAAGAAAGGAACAAAAUCAGAAGUUUACUGGCAACCCUGCAUUAAUCCCCAGGGGAAAAAAAUAAAACAAAAGAACAACUGAAUCCUUGGUAGAGGAACAAAAAAUAAAUGACAACACUUAAAUAACACAUCAAAUACAUGAAACACACUUUUUGACUUUAUUUCUCUUACCAUUAGGGCAUAUGUUUGGUAGACAGUAGGAACAGUGUUGAUCUAACAAAUUUGUACAUGGGCUUAUUCAGUAUAGCACCUAGAAACUGGCUUAGUUGUGCACAUGUAAUUCAAUGUAAGUAAAUAAAAUUUAAGGUUACAGGUGUGUGUCAUCAGUGAGGAAUUGCUCAGGUGUCUUUCUAAUUGAAUCCCACUGGAAUUAGUUCUUGACAACCAAGCUACUUAACAUUUUAUUGGAAAUAAAGUUUACUAAUAAUAUU